rnacentral:sRNA from 1 species
GCCAGGCAUGGUGGCACAUGCCUGUAGUCUCAGCAACUUGGGAGGCUAGGGCAGGAGGAUCACAAAUUCAAAGCCAGCCUCAGCAAUGGCGAGGUGCUAAGCAACUCAGUGAGAUCCUGUCUCUA